rnacentral:rRNA from 1 species
CUGAUGCAGCCAUGCCGCGUGUAUGAAGAAGGCCUUCGGGUUGUAAAGUACUUUCAGUCGUGAGGAAGGCGGUGUCGUUAAUAGCGGCGUCAUUUGACGUUAGCGACAGAAGAAGCACCGGCUAACUCCGUGCCAGCAGCCGCGGUAAUACGGAGGGUGCGAGCGUUAAUCGGAAUUACUGGGCGUAAAGCGCAUGCAGGUGGUUUGUUAAGUCAGAUGUGAAAGCCCGGGGCUCAACCUCGGAAUAGCAUUUGAAACUGGCAGACUAGAGUACUGUAGAGGGGGGUAGAAUUUCAGGUGUAGCGGUGAAAUGCGUAGAGAUCUGAAGGAAUACCGGUGGCGAAGGCGGCCCCCUGGACAGAUACUGACACUCAGAUGCGAAAGCGUGGGGAGCAAACAGGAUUAGAUACCCUGGUAGUCCACGCCGUAAACGAUGUCUACUUGGAGGUUGUGGCCUUGAGCCGUGGCUUUCGGAGCUAACGCGUUAAGUAGACCGCCUGGGGAGUACGGUCGCAAGAUUAAAACUCAAAUGAAUUGACGGGGGCCCGCACAAGCGGUGGAGCAUGUGGUUUAAUUCGAUGCAACGCGAAGAACCUUACCUACUCUUGACAUCCAGAGAACUUUCCAGAGAUGGAUUGGUGCCUUCGGGAACUCUGAGACAGGUGCUGCAUGGCUGUCGUCAGCUCGUGUUGUGAAAUGUUGGGUUAAGUCCCGCAACGAGCGCAACCCUUAUCCUUGUUUGCCAGCGAGUAAUGUCGGGAACUCCAGGGAGACUGCCGGUGAUAAACCGGAGGAAGGUGGGGACGACGUCAAGUCAUCAUGGCCCUUACGAGUAGGGCUACACACGUGCUACAAUGGCGCAUACAGAGGGC